CAUGCAAGUCGAACGAGCGAGAGAGAGCUUGCUUUCUCGAGCGAGUGGCGAACGGGUGAGUAACGCGUGAGGAACCUGCCUCAAAGAGGGGGACAACAGUUGGAAACGACUGCUAAUACCGCAUAAGCCCACGGGUCGGCAUCGACCAGAGGGAAAAGGAGCAAUCCGCUUUGAGAUGGCCUCGCGUCCGAUUAGCUAGUUGGUGAGGUAACGGCCCACCAAGGCGACGAUCGGUAGCCGGACUGAGAGGUUGAACGGCCACAUUGGGACUGAGACACGGCCCAGACUCCUACGGGAGGCAGCAGUGGGGAAUAUUGCACAAUGGGGGAAACCCUGAUGCAGCGACGCCGCGUGGAGGAAGAAGGUCUUCGGAUUGUAAACUCCUGUUGUUGAGGAAGAUAAUGACGGUACUCAACAAGGAAGUGACGGCUAACUACGUGCCAGCAGCCGCGGUAAAACGUAGGUCACAAGCGUUGUCCGGAAUUACUGGGUGUAAAGGGAGCGCAGGCGGGAAGACAAGUUGGAAGUGAAAUCCAUGGGCUCAACCCAUGAACUGCUUUCAAAACUGUUUUUCUUGAGUAGUGCAGAGGUAGGCGGAAUUCCCGGUGUAGCGGUGGAAUGCGUAGAUAUCGGGAGGAACACCAGUGGCGAAGGCGGCCUACUGGGCACCAACUGACGCUGAGGCUCGAAAGUGUGGGUAGCAAACAGGAUUAGAUACCCUGGUAGUCCACACCGUAAACGAUGAUUACUAGGUGUUGGAGGAUUGACCCCUUCAG
rnacentral:rRNA from 1 species